CCUACGGGAGGCAGCAGUGGGGAAUAUUGCACAAUGGGCGCAAGCCUGAUGCAGCGACGCCGCGUGAGGGAUGACGGCCUUCGGGUUGUAAACCUCUUUCAGUAGGGACGAAGCGCAAGUGACGGUACCUACAGAAGAAGGACCGGCCAACUACGUGCCAGCAGCCGCGGUAAUACGUAGGGUCCGAGCGUUGUCCGGAAUUACUGGGCGUAAAGAGCUCGUAGGUGGUUUGUCGCGUUGUCCGUGAAAACUCACAGCUUAACUGUGGGCGUGCGGGCGAUACGGGCAGACUGGAGUACUGCAGGGGAGACUGGAAUUCCUGGUGUAGCGGUGGAAUGCGCAGAUAUCAGGAGGAACACCGGUGGCGAAGGCGGGUCUCUGGGCAGUAACUGACGCUGAGGAGCGAAAGCGUGGGGAGCGAACAGGAUUAGAUACCCUGGUAGUCCACGCCGUAAACGGUGGGUACUAGGUGUGGGUUUCCUUCCUUGGGAUCCGUGCCGUAGCUAACGCAUUAAGUACCCCGCCUGGGGAGUACGGCCGCAAGGCUAAAACUCAAAUGAAUUGACGG
rnacentral:rRNA from 1 species